rnacentral:rRNA from 1 species
CAGGCUUAACACAUGCAAGUCGAGGGGCAGCAUGGUCUUAGCUUGCUAAGGCCGAUGGCGACCGGCGCACGGGUGAGUAACACGUAUCCAACCUGCCGUCUACUCUUGGACAGCCUUCUGAAAGGAAGAUUAAUACAAGAUGGCAUCAUGAGUCCGCAUGUUCACAUGAUUAAAGGUAUUCCGGUAGACGAUGGGGAUGCGUUCCAUUAGAUAGUAGGCGGGGUAACGGCCCACCUAGUCUUCGAUGGAUAGGGGUUCUGAGAGGAAGGUCCCCCACAUUGGAACUGAGACACGGUCCAAACUCCUACGGGAGGCAGCAGUGAGGAAUAUUGGUCAAUGGGCGAGAGCCUGAACCAGCCAAGUAGCGUGAAGGAUGACUGCCCUAUGGGUUGUAAACUUCUUUUAUAAAGGAAUAAAGUCGGGUAUGGAUACCCGUUUGCAUGUACUUUAUGAAUAAGGAUCGGCUAACUCCGUGCCAGCAGCCGCGGUAAUACGGAGGAUCCGAGCGUUAUCCGGAUUUAUUGGGUUUAAAGGGAGCGUAGAUGGAUGUUUAAGUCAGUUGUGAAAGUUUGCGGCUCAACCGUAAAAUUGCAGUUGAUACUGGAUAUCUUGAGUGCAGUUGAGGCAGGCGGAAUUCGUGGUGUAGCGGUGAAAUGCUUAGAUAUCACGAAGAACUCCGAUUGCGAAGGCAGCCUGCUAAGCUGCAACUGACAUUGAGGCUCGAAAGUGUGGGUAUCAAACAGGAUUAGAUACCCUGGUAGUCCACACGGUAAACGAUGAAUACUCGCUGUUUGCGAUAUACUGCAAGCGGCCAAGCGAAAGCGUUAAGUAUUCCACCUGGGGAGUGCGCCGGCAACGGUGAAACUCAAAGGAAUUGACGGGGGCCCGCACAAGCGGAGGAACAUGUGGUUUAAUUCGAUGAUACGCGAGGAACCUUACCCGGGCUUAAAUUGCAGAUGAAUUACGGUGAAAGCCGUAAGCCGCAAGGCAUCUGUGAAGGUGCUGCAUGGUUGCCGUCAGCUCGUGCCGUGAGGUGUCGGCUUAAGUGCCAUAACGAGCGCAACCCUUGUUGUCAGUUACUAACAGGUUCCGCUGAGGACUCUGACAAGACUGCCAUCGUAAGAUGUGAGGAAGGUGGGGAUGACGUCAAAUCAGCACGGCCCUUACGUCCGGGGCUACACACGUGUUACAAUGGGGGGUACAGAGGGCCGCUACCACGCGAGUGGAUGCCAAUCCCCAAAACCUCUCUCAGUUCGGACUGGAGUCUGCAACCCGACUCCACGAAGCUGGAUUCGCUAGUAAUCGCGCAUCAGCCACGGCGCGGUGAAUACGUUCCCGGGCCUUGUACACACCGCCCGUCAAGCCAUGGGAGCCGGGGGUACCUGAAGUGCGUAACCGCGAGGAGCGCCCUAGGGUAAAACUGGUGACUGGGGC